rnacentral:ribozyme from 1 species
UGCCCAACAACUCCUAUCCCUACCUCCUCGUGGUACUGGCCGGGGUACGAGUAACCUUAGGGAAGAUCGGGUAACCAACCCCGGUCAUAUGCUGACAGGGAAGG